rnacentral:rRNA from 1 species
CAGUUGGGAAGAAGGGAAAGUGACGGUACCUGCAGAAGAAGCGCCGGCUAACUACGUGCCAGCAGCCGCGGUAAUACGUAGGGCCCCAAGCGUUAUCCGGAAUUAUUGGGCGUAAAGAGUCGUAGGCGGUUUGUCGCGUCUGCCGUGAAAGUCCGGGGCUUAACUCCGGAUCUGCGGUGGGUACGGGCAGACUAGAGUGAUGUAGGGGAGACUGGAAUUCCUGGUGUAGCGGUGAAAUGCGCGGAUAUCAGGAGGAACACCGAUGGCGAAGGCAGGUCUCCGGGCAUUAACUGACGCUGAGGAGCGAAAGCAUGGGGAGCGAACAGGAUUAGAUACCCUGGUAGUCCAUGCCGUAAACGUUGGGCACUAGGUGUGGGGGACAUUUCACGUUUUCCGCG